rnacentral:rRNA from 1 species
UACGGAGGGUGCAAGCGUUAUCCGGAUUCACUGGGUUUAAAGGGUGCGUAGGUGGGCUGGUAAGUCAGUGGUGAAAUCUCCAGGCUUAACUUGGAAACUGCCAUUGAUACUAUCAGUCUUGAAUACCGUGGAGGUCAGCGGAAUAUGUCAUGUAGCGGUGAAAUGCUUAGAUAUGACAUAGAACGCCAAUUGCGAAGGCAGCUGGCUACACGAAUAUUGACACUGAUGCACGAAAGCGUGGGGAUCAAACAGG